UACGAAGGGGGCUAGCGUUGCUCGGAAUCACUGGGCGUAAAGGGUGCGUAGGCGGGUCUUUAAGUCAGGGGUGAAAUCCUGGAGCUCAACUCCAGAACUGCCUUUGAUACUGAAGAUCUUGAGUUCGGGAGAGGUGAGUGGAACUGCGAGUGUAGAGGUGAAAUUCGUAGAUAUUCGCAAGAACACCCGUGGCGAAGGCGGCCGGCUGGGCCGACCCUGACACUGAGGCGCGAAGGCGUGGGGAGCGAACGGG
rnacentral:rRNA from 1 species